rnacentral:lncRNA from 1 species
CUUUCUUUUGUCAAGUGUGGGAAGGACUGUGUGAGCACAAGUUCAUUCUCCAGCAGGUGAAUUUUUGGAAACAGUUCAUAUGGAAGACGAGGAUCUGGAAAUGAGUUCCCUUGAAACCAUCUGUACAGACAUGGCCCGUGGAACAUCCUUCUGUCCUCUCCCUGUUUGGAAGCUUCCACCCAGAGGUUCAGGGCCCAGGAGCUCUGUCUGAGAGAGCGCUAAGGGCAGAGGGCAGGGUUUUGCUGCUAAAAACAACACUUUGCAAAGCACAGCUUCCAUGGAGAAUCAGAGACAAAAGUGUAUGGUGGCUUCUCCUGACAAUUCUUAAAUGGCUUCUUAGGAAAUCACUGGCUCUCUAUGAAAAAAACUAUUCUUCUGCACUAUCUUUUCACAAAAUUUGUGUUUGUGACACUCACAGUAUGUACCAGGUUUUCUUGGACCUGUUUUGUGUGCAAAGCACGUAUAAGUCAAAGCCUUUUUCCGCAAGUGAGGUUGGUUAAGCAGAGAAAAGACAGCGAGGUGUUUUGUUUGUCUGGAAUCCUAUGGGCUUGGAGGCACAAUCUGGUGUACAGCAGGCCAGAGGGUCUGGAGUUAGCUGUGAUAUCAGGUGUUCUAGAGAGACUCUUUUGGGUCUUUGGUGGCCAUUACCCUCUAAGCAUAGCUUCACAUGAUAGGAUGAAGUUUCUUUGCACUAACAGUGUCAGGAGCUGGAACUGGAGUUACAAGUCUAGUUUAAAGAGCUAUCCAAAGGUUUCCAUUUCUACUGGCUUGAGGGCAAAAGAGGUUGUUGGGGGGCUUGCCUUUGGCCUCUGAGCCCAAGGGAUUCCAAAUGAAUGCUCUGCAAAGGUAAGCCUGUAUCAUUCAGCUUUGUGCAUUCAUCCCCAUAGCUUGUGCAAGGCAGACAGUGUUCAAUAAAGAAAUAUUGUACCUGAGAAUAAAAUGGCA